CGACCUCAAAUCAGGUAGGAAUACCCGCUGAACUUAAGCAUAUCAAUAAGCGGAGGAAAAGAAAAUAACAAUGAUUCCCCCAGUAACGGCGAGUGAAGAGGGAAUAGCUCAAAUUUUAAAUCUAUUAGGUUUCACCUAGUCGAGUUGUAAUUUGAAGAAGCAUUUUCCGUGUUUUCAAUUAACCCAAAUCCUUUGGGAUAAGGUAUCAUGGAGGGUGAGAAUCCUGUCCGGUUAAUUUGAGACACUUUACGAUACGCUUUCUAAGAGUCGAGUUGUUUGGGAUUGCAGCUCAAAAUGGGAGGUAAAUUUCUCCUAAGGCUAAAUAAAGGCGAGAGACCGAUAGCGAACAAGUACCGUGAGGGAAAGAUGAAAAGAACUUUGAAAAGAGGGUUAAAUAGUACGUGAAAUUGUUGAAAGGGAAACGAUUAAAGUCAGUCAUACUGAUGGGAAAUCAACUUCUCGAGCGUGGUUUAGUGGGAUCAAAGUGCCUUUGUUCUCGCGAUAUCUGCGUUCUUUUGGUGCACUUUCUUUAUUGUAGGUUAGCAUCGGUUUUGAUCGUCAUAAAAUGACUGGAGGAAUGUGGCUUCGACUUCGGUUGAAGUGUUAUAAACUCUGGUAGAUGUAAUGGUUGAGACCGAGGAUUGCAACGGAUGCCCUUAAGGGCUAUCCGCCUGGCCUCUAAUUGUCACUUUGGCUUCGAAAGCUUGCUUACGAUGUUAAAGUGUGCGGUCAAUAGGUUAGAUCGGAUUAAAUUCGUUAAGGAUGCUGACGUAAUGGCUUUAAACGACCCGUCUUGAAACACGGACCAAGGAGUCUAACAUGUAUGCGAGUGUU
rnacentral:rRNA from 1 species